GGGAUAGCUCAGUCUGUAGAGCAUGAGACUCUUAAUUUUAGGGUUGUGGGUUUGAGCCCCACUUUGGGCA